rnacentral:rRNA from 1 species
UACGGAGGGGGCUAGCGUUGUUCGGAAUUACUGGGCGUAAAGCGCACGUAGGCGGCUUUGCAAGUUAGAGGUGAAAGCCCGGGGCUCAACUCCGGAAUUGCCUUUAAAACUGCAUCGCUAGAAUUGUGGAGAGGUAAGUGGAAUUCCGAGUGUAGAGGUGAAAUUCGUAGAUAUUCGGAAGAACACCAGUGGCGAAGGCGACUUACUGGACACAUAUUGACGCUGAGGUGCGAAAGCGUGGGGGAGCAAACAGGG